CGGGCGUUGCUUAACACAUAGCAAAGUCGAACGGAAGCGAACCCCUGAAGGAGUUUUCGGUACAACGGAAGGGAAGUGCUUAGUGGCGACGGGUGAGUAACGCGUGAGUAACCUGCCUUGGAUGGGGAUAACAGAUGGAAACAUCUGCUAAUACCGCAUGAAGCAGUUGGGCCGCAUGGCUCUGACUGCCAAAGAUUUAUCGCUCUGAGAUGGACUCGCGUCUGAUUAGCUAGUUGCGGGGCAACGGCCCACCAAGGCGACGAUCAGUAGCCGGACUGAGAGGUUGGCCGGCCACAUUGGGACUGAGACACGGCCCAGACUCCUACGGGAGGCAGCAGUGGGGAAUAUUGGGCAAUGGGCGCAAGCCUGACCCAGCAACGCCGCGUGAAGGAAGAAGGCUUUCGGGUUUGUAAACUUCUUUUCUCAGGGACGAAGAAAGUGACGGUACCUGAGGAAUAAGCCACGGCUAACUACGUG
rnacentral:rRNA from 1 species